rnacentral:tRNA from 1 species
UUUAGUUUAGUUUUAAAUAAAAACAAUAGCUUGUCGAGCUUUAAAUACAAAAUUAAACUUUGUAACUAAAA